UGCAGCACCAACAGAGAUCUGAAGAGUGAAACACGUUUGAAUCUCCUCACAUAAUAUCUGGGGAGAACCCCAACCUGUGAAAAAUGAAAGGAGAAAAAAAAGAUACAGAAUAUUCCCGUGGAAUCUGGACCAACUCUAGAGACCAACAGAGCAUGGCGGAAGAGACUGCUGGCUCCAGAGAUUAGGACAAGCUAUCCUAGGUUUGGAUCCAUAAAGGGUUGUGUCACAUAUACAAAAGGCACAGCACCCCGUGAAACUCCAGGUGUGGGUCUGAGGUUGCUGAGACCGAUCAUCAUGAAGCGUUCAUUUAAUAUACAAAUUUGAUAUGAGAGAAGAACAUUGGAGCAGAGACGUCAGAAACGUGUCCAACAAAGGCCAAAGCCGUCGCAGAAGAAAGAUGCUCUGCUUUCACUGAUGCUGCUGUCUAGUUAUUUUCCUCCUCCCACUUCUUAGUAUUUUAUCAAAUUUCCUUUAUAGUCAACAGCUGAUAUAAGGUGUCAGAUUAUUGUGUGCUCAACCACUCAGUCAUGUCCCACUCUGCAACCCCAUGAACUGUAGGUAGCCUACCAGGCUCCUCUGUCCAUGUGAUUGCCCAGGCAAGAAUACAGGAGUGGGUUGUCAUUUCCUCCUCCAGGGGAUCUUCCUGUCCCAGGGAUCAAACCUGCAUCUCUUAUAUCAAAUUAUUAGCCAAAUCAUAAUAUAAUAGGAGAGGGUACACAGCACGUGCAAAACCGUAUCUCUGCAGUUGCACAAAUGAGAACAAUUUUGAUCCCACUUAACCAGGUAACUUUUCAGGAAAAAUAAAAUUAUCUCCCCCUGGUCUAGACCACAGUGACCUUCAUAAGUCCCCAAGAGCAAAUGGCUUCCAAUGGAAAUCAACCAGCCAUGUUACUUUUUCAACUAGAACAUUUUCUUGAAAGGCCACAAAGAUUAAACUCCUUAUGCAAAUCAUAAGGCUUUUCAAUUGCUGUCAUUUCAUGUUGCAAAAAGAUAAAGUCUAAAUAUUCUGCUGGAUUAAAUAACCCACAUCACCCUAUGAUAAAAUACAUGAAUUAGUAGGUUUGGCCUGACAUAAGUGCCCGUCUUCUAUAUGAGCAUAUUUUAUUCAAGGUCAUAUAAAUGAGAAUAAAUAACUUCAAUAAAAAUAAACAUCUUCACCAUUGUUAACAAUCUCAGAAAAAUUGGCAUUCGCUUUUUAUGGCAUUUGUUCAAUACUCCUUCAACAGACAGAGGGUUUGAUUCUCCCCAGAGGAGAAAAAGUGGAAUCUUCCCCAGGAAAUAGCAUGUUUAUUGCAGGUGGGUGCCUCUGUUUUUUCAGUCUAGGGAAAUGUGGUGACCUGUUUCCUUCUGUAAGCGAAAACUGACAUUAUGUGUACAAAACCCAGGUGAUUGUAAUUGGGAGUCACCCCUCCUUGAAUAUUAAGGUGCUAUUUGUAGGUUAUUCAAAAAGUGAGUUGACAGUUAUUUUUAAGAAUUUGAUUUUAUGACAAGGCAAGGAAUUGUUUGAAGUAUUUAAACAACUAAUUGAUACUUCUCAGCAAGACACCUUAACCAAAUCAAGAAUCUCUCUUAGUUUGGGACAAGCUUUUUGCCAGUGUUUGAAUAACAUCACAUCUUCCAAGACAGCACUUACAGGCUUCUGUUUAUGUAGCAUCAGAGCCACCUGCAAACUUUUCCCCUGUGUUUCCACCCUAUGUAC